UUACUUCCAAUUUUACUCUUGAGUUUUCCCAUGCAUGCAUACUCUGUUAAUUUAUUCCGAGUGCCCAUAGUUCCCUCUCUAGCAGCACCACCUGUGCUCUUGUCUCACCCAUAACAACAAUUUACUAGUAGUAUGUCUCUUGGCAUGGGUGCUAGCUUAGGUCCCUUCUACUACUACUCCACUUAGUAACUUGUCUGUAUUCUAUUACUUUGUACCUAUGUGUGUGAGCUGUGUUGCAUUCAUCUUCCUCAAGUACUACAACACUGGUAGUUGUACACAUAUGAUGGUGAUUCGCUCCGGCCAUUCCAGUUUUGGCGGUGGUGGUGCUGGUGCUCCUAUGAUGGUAGACUCGUCUGAUUCCCCUAGCUGCAUCCAUGGUGAUGAAGCUCGGCCUAGGCUAGAACCCCCUCCAAUUUACUUAAGAUCACGGAAGUUUGGAUUGAUGGAGUGCUUGUAUUUAGUUUUUGUUUUGACCUUGUGAAACUUGCUACCUAUGGAUGAAACUGUGUAAUAUUGAUGAAACUAUGUAUAUGUACGGAUGAAACUUGCUACUAUUGGUAACAUGUGUUGGAUAUAUAUGUGUUCAUGACUAUUGGUAAUAUGUGCUGAA